rnacentral:rRNA from 1 species
UUCCACUGUUAGAUAGCCUGCAUGUCUAGUACUGCCGUAUUAAGGCGAAACCGCGAAUGGCUCAUUAAAUCAGUUAUGGUUCCUUGGAUCGUACUUAGUUACUUGGAUAACUGUGGUAAUUCUAGAGCUAAUACAUGCAGCAGAGCUCCGACCUUCGGGGACGAGCGCUUUUAUUAGACCAAAACCAAUCGGUCUCCGACCGUAACCUGUGGUGACUCUGAAUAACUUUGGGCUGAUCGCACGGGCCCGUCCCGGCGACGUAUCUUUCAAGUGUCUGCCUUAUCAACUUUCGAUGGUAGGUUACGCGCCUACCAUGGUCGUAACGGGUAACGGGGAAUCAGGGUUCGAUUCCGGAGAGGGAGCCUGAGAAACGGCUACCACAUCCAAGGAAGGCAGCAGGCGCGCAAAUUACCCACUCCCAGAACGGGGAGGUAGUGACGAAAAAUAACAAUACGGGACUCUUUUGAGACCCCGUAAUUGGAAUGAGUACACUCUAAAUCCUUUAACGAGGAUCCAUUGGAGGGCAAGUCUGGUGCCAGCCGCCGCGGUAACUCCAGCUCCAAUAGCGUAUAUUAAAGUUGUUGCGGUUAAAAAGCUCGUAGUUGGAUCUCAGUUCCAGACGGGUGGUCCGCCUACCGGUGGUUACUGCCUGUUCUGAACAGCCAGCCGGUUUCUCUUGAUGAUCUUCACCGGUUGUCUUGGGUGACCGGCAAGUUUACUUUUGAAAAAUUAGAGUGCUCAAAGCAGGCGCGACGCCUGAAUAAUGGUGCAUGGAAAUAUGGAAUAGGACCUCGGUUCUAUUUUGUUGGUUUUCGGAACACGAGGUAAUGAUUAAGAGGGACAGACGGGGGCAUUCGUAUUGCGACGCUAGAGGUGAAAAUCUUGGGACGUCGCAGGACGAACUCUGCGAGAAUUUUUUCCCAAGAAA